ensembl:misc_RNA Metazoa_SRP Metazoan signal recognition particle RNA
GCCGGGCGUGGUGGCGUGCGUCUGUAAUCCCAGUUACUCGGGAGGUCGAGGCAGGAGAAUCGCUUGAACCCGGGAGGUGGAGAUUGCAGUGAGCAGAGACAGCGCCAUUGCACUCCAGCCUGGGUGACAGAGCGAGACUCUGUCUCAA